rnacentral:pre_miRNA from 1 species
AAUAAGUACAGCUGUGGAUAUCCGUACCCAAUGUUUGACCGUUUGUCUUAUUUGAAAAAUUUAUGAAAAAAUUAAAAAUAUUUAAUCACACAUAAAGUACUAUUUAUGUUUUAUCAUCUAAUAGCAAUAAAAAUACUAAUCAUAAAAAGUUUUCAAAUAAGACGAACGGUCAAACAUUGAACAUAAAUAGUGCAAAACUACACUUAUU